rnacentral:misc_RNA from 1 species
ACGAGUUAGGGUCUUCCAGGCCCGACCUCCCAACCCUAUGUCUAUCAAACUUUUUGUUGCUUCGGCGGGCCCGUCGUAAACGACCGCCGGAGGAUUUGUCGAGAGACGUCCUCUGGCCUGCGCCCGUCGAUGGCCCAACUCGUUAAACUCUAAACUAAACAUGAUUAUGUCUAAGUCUAUGAUUAAAUAAGCA